GUCCAGGGUAGCCUAGUGGACAUGGCAUCUGCCCGGUAAGCGGAACACUGUGGGUUCGAUUCCCAUCACUGGACA